rnacentral:lncRNA from 1 species
AGUUCCAUGAAGAUUGGACAUAAUUUGUGGCCUGUGGAAAUUUACAACUGAUUUUGACAACUUUCAACAUGGCGGCCAAGUUCUGAUGUUGCAAUGAGAAAUAAUUUUAAAGCUAUAUAAGGAGGUCUGGCAGUAUCCUCAGACAUUAAAAAUAAGUUUGAAAUGUACUCAUGUGAAGAGAGAGGAGUUAAAACACGUCUUCAUUAAUUAUAGCGCCCCCUAGAGGUCAAUGGUCACCAAAUUCAUUAAGUGUCCCCAAGAUGAUGUUAUGGGUCUAUGUAACAAGUUUGGUUAUGAUAUGUCAAAGGGAUGCUGAGAUAUAGGCGUGUUUCCGGUUUGGCGGAUUCGCGGUCGAAUAUCAUUGGCUGUCGCGGAUAUUUCUGCAAGAAAUAAUAUACUAGCUAUACGGGGAGGUCUAAUAGUAUCACUAGACAUUGAAAAUAAGUUUUAAAUGUACUCAUGUGAAGAGAGAGGAGUCAAAACACAUCGACAUUAAUAACAGCGCCCCCUAGAGGUCAAAUCUCACCAAAUUCAUCCAGUGUAACCUUUAUGGGGUCAUGGGUCUAUGUACCAAGGUUGGUUAUGAUAUGUCCAAGGGCUGCUGAGAUAUGGGCUUACAUCCGGUUUGAUUUGAUUGGCUCUAGCGGGCAAACGGUUUUGAAGUUGAAAGGUCUAUCAGAUGUUUUGCAUCAAACAUGGCGAGAAGAUCAUGUGUGCCAAGUUUCGAGAUGAUUGGACAAGAUUUGUGAUAGAAGUAGCACUUUGAAGGUUUUUGACAUAAACCAAGAUGGCGGAAAUAUACGUCAUGGCGCAAUGACGUCAUAGGGUUUGUUGAACUGGGCUUGGUUCAAGGAAUCCAAUGAUACCUGGUUUGUGAAUAUUGGUCCAAUAGGUCGAAAGUUAUGAACAUGAAUGCAUGUCCAACUUUGACCUGUUGGUGGCGCUAGAGCUGUUGGGCUAGCGACCUGAGAUUGGCUUAAUGGGCUAAUGGGGCUGUCCUGAACAAGUGUGCCAAAUUUCACAACUUUUCGCCAAGCGGUUCUAUGGGCUGCCAUUGACUCCAAUGGCAGCAUAAUAAUAAU